rnacentral:rRNA from 1 species
GUAAGGAAUAUUGGGCAAUGGGCGAAAGCCUGACCCAGCCAUGCCGCGUGCAGGAUGACGGCUCUAGUAGUUGUAAACUGCUUUUAUACGGGAAGAAACCCCUCUACGUGUAGAGGGCUGACGGUACCGUAAGAAUAAGGAUCGGCUAACUCCGUGCCAGCAGCCGCGGUAAUACGGAGGAUCCAAGCGUUAUCCGGAUUUAUUGGGUUUAAAGGGUGCGUAGGCGGAACGGUAAGUCAGUGGUGAAAGCCUGCAGCUUAACUGCAGAAUUGCCAUUGAUACUGCUGUCCUUGAGUGUAGUUGAAGUGGGCGGAAUGUGUCAUGUAGCGGUGAAAUGCAUAGAUAUGACACAGAACACCGAUUGCGAAGGCAGCUCACUAAACUAUUACUGACGCUAAGGCACGAAAGCGUGGGGAGCAAACAGG